ensembl:antisense
GAUGGCCCCACCGUUCAGGCUGGGCUGCUUCUCCUGCAUCUCCGACUGGCUGUCGCUGGCCACGUCCAGCGUGGGAUUGUCGUGGCAGCCGUUCUCCACGAAGCGCAGCUCCUCACCGUGCGACUGCAGCAGCAGGAGAGAGCGCUAGGCGCGCACAGUGGUUGGCCACGCGAAGCCCCCAGGGUACUCCCUUGGGGCCCAGGAUACAAGUGUCUGCAGCUCAAACCUAAACCUCUGCACGUCCCAAGCCCUCCCUGGCCUACUCACCACGUGUUUGAGCUUGGGCAUCCGGCGCUGCCAACAAUUAUAGAGUAGGCCAAGCACAAUGAUGAUGAAGCAGAUGACACCAAUGAUCACCAGCACUACAAAGAGCGUCCCAUAGUCACUGCGCACCUGGGUGGCCCGUGCCUGGCAACUGCUGGUGGUGGAGUAGUUCUGGAUGCCAAUCUGAGGGUAGGGGUAUGGGACCAGACAUCAGGAAAGUCCUAAGGGCUAACAUUCCAAGGGUGAGUUAGAGCCCCUGACAGCCCUGGGGCCUGGACCUGUGUUGAGGGGCAUACCAUUCUGUCCCUAUUGGUUCAUCUAAGAACACUUCCAAGCCUCUCCCAGUGGCCACAUUCUCGGCCCCCUCACCUCCUCACUGUGAUUCUGCGCCAACCCAACUCUGAAUGUACCGGCUCUGGCCCUGCCCAGCACUGAGACGUGAUGACAGUCACAGCCCAAACAGAUAGGGGCCCCACACCUGUCCCCAUCAGUUUUGCAAAGCAACAUGGCAUCUGGGAGACUUGAGUUCACCAAAGUCAGAGGCCUGAAGCAAGCUUCCUCUUUAGGGGUAAGUAAAUUCUUCCAGGCACUUUUUGAGGGUCAAGGAUGGUAGAAGAUGCUGCAGUGGCUGCCAGGUCAAGUCCCUACUCACUUACCUCCUCCAGACUCCUGCGAAUGCCACUGAGCAUGGAAAGGACAUCUUGAGUGGGUACGACGCCUGGAGGAAAAAAACGCCAUCAUCACCACAGCACCCUGAGGUGUCUCCACACCACCCAACCCUUCUAUGGCAGGCUGCCUGAGCCGCCUCUGCUGCCCUUGUGCUUCUAAUCACAGGGAACCUCAGGGCCCAUGUAUGUCCCCUGCUGGCCUGCUUCCCAUUGAGUUGACCCCCUGGGAAACUAUGAAAGGCAUGAUUCUAGAAGUCACCUCUGCAGCCCAAGAGUCCCACUCUCAUAGAGUGUGAUGCCCAUACCUGUCUCCUCAUCCCCAGAACCCAGGAAUCACACCACCCAGAGCCCUGCACUAGCAUGCCUGCUGGGUCUCCUAGCUCCAUUACAGGCCUGUGGUGGGACGCCUCCCCCGUCUGCUCACCCUGCUCUCCUACAAGGGUCAUCAGCAGGUGCUGCUCCUUCUCACUGGGCUUGCUCAAAGAGAUAUGCCAGUCCCCACGGUGGCCACUGCGGUGGCGUGGCAGUACCUCCUCCACCAGGGCUAGGAGCCGUAGUCCCCGGUGCCGCCGAAAUACUUCCUAGGGGUUCAGAGGAGCCAAGCUCAAGGUUGGAUGGUAGCUCUCAUCCCAGAUCCCAAAGGCCUAGAUGGCCCUCUGGCCAGCUUGGUCGGCCCUGGGGCCAGCUGAGAGCAGGGCACAGGCAGAUACAGCUUGUCGCUUCACUUCCAACUCUAGGUACCAUGGUAAAGGUGUGAGCCUGCCCCAAAGUCAGUCAGGUAGAGGGGACAUGGAUCUGUCUGCUGACAAUGACAACUCCUUAUCAUGGGGUCCAGCGCUGGAAAAGACAGUGUUAAAUCCCCACAGCCACCAGAGAGCAGGGAGGCUGAAAACAGCAGGCUCCUCUGCUGGUCAUUCCACCAUGUGGCUGUCACUGAGCUUCAGGGGAGUGGUGGGAAUGCCUUUACAGCAAGGGACUUGAAAACCCAUAGAGAUGACUCAGAGAACCCUGGGAACUGGCCAUGGGAGUGGGGUGGGAUGGGGUAGGGUGCGGUGGCUUCUUGCCCCCCAGACUCUACCCCACUGUUUAGAUGAUCAUGUGAAGUAUAAUUACAGAAUGUAACAAGAAAACAAACCCAGCCCUCCACUGGAACUCUGUAGCAGAGAGAAGCCAAGCUGCUGCCGCCAGAGUCCCAACCAGAUUCCUCUCCCGCAACCUCAGUUCUCUAGACAUGUCAACAGGCCACCGUGGGUGCAAGCCCAAUGCCUUCCUUGUGACCCCUGAGGCACAGAUGAACUGCUAUUCUCAUUGGGUUCCUACCUAGGAUAAGGACCUAUCCCCCCUUGGUGGUUGUGCCAACCUGAAAUCCACCAGGCUGACUUUUAUGGUGGGCUUGCUCCUUGUGUGCAGUUCAGGUCUAGACACUCUCUAGCUUCCUGGUCAGCAGUUCUGUCCCAACAUCCAAGUCCCAGGGUCAAGGGGUCAGUAUUACUGAUGUGAGGACAGGGCGGACCUGCCUGCUGCUCUGCCACAUGUAUGACACCCUUCCCUGUGUAGCGACCCUGGCUUCUAGACUCCAAGGUCAGCUUGGCAUUUGCCACUUUAUCAUCCUGUGUCUGUGCCUGCUGAUCUCUGCUGGCUCCCUUCCUGUCUCCCACAUCCUAGAUAGAAAACAGGAGAAUCUGGCUAGCCUGCACUACUCUGGGAGAUCUCAAGUGCAAAGUUCUAAAACUGUAGCUGCAUCAUAUAAAGCCAUCUCUGGGAGCAGUGGCACAUUCCUCCCUAUUCUUUUUUUUUGGUCUGAAGAUGAGGACUCUGUGUGGCCCACCGCCUUCAAUGCACGUUGUUCCAGUCUCUUCAAACAUAGGUCAGAAAGGAAACAUUGAACUGCUGGAUGGGAGACAAGACGUCUACAUACAGUGCUUGGGAAAGGAUACACCAGCAGCAAAUUCUCUCACUGCCUGGAGAAGAUGAAACAUCUCCUCUUUUCUGUUUUAUCUUCUACCCCCUCUCCCCCCCCACACACAGACACACCUCAUGCUGGGAAUGAAACCUAGCCCUGGGAGUUCACGUUUUCGAGAGUAAAACUGAGUGCCUGUGACCAUG